UACGUAGGGACCGAGCGUUGUCCGGAUUCAUUGGGCGUAAAGAGCUCGUAGGCGGCCGCUCAAGUCGAAUGUGAAACCUCGAGGCUCAACCUCGAGCCUGCAUUCGAUACUGGGCGGCUAGAGUCUGGUAGGGGGAUCUGGAAUUCCUGGUGUAGCGGUGAAAUGCGCAGAUAUCAGGAGGAACACCAAUAGCGAAGGCAGCUCGCUGGGACGGUACUGACGCUGAGGCGCGAAAGCGUGGGGAGCAAACAGG
rnacentral:rRNA from 1 species